CUGGUCUGGCAGAUCCAAGCGCCGCAACUGUUUGGAGACGUUGAUCCUGGCUCAGAUUGAACGCUGGCGGCAGGCCUAACACAUGCAAGUCGAGCGGAAACGAUGGGAGCUUGCUUCCAGGCGUCGAGCGGCGGACGGGUGAGUAACACGUGGGAAUCUGCCCAUUAGUGGGGGAUAACUCGGGGAAACUCGAGCUAAUACCGCAUAAUCCCUACGGGGGAAAGCAGGGGAUCUUCGGACCUUGCGCUGAUGGAUGAGCCCGCGUCGGAUUAGCUUGUUGGUGGGGUAAUGGCCCACCAAGGCGACGAUCCGUAACUGGUCUGAGAGGAUGGCCAGUCACACCGGGACUGAGACACGGCCCGGACUCCUACGGGAGGCAGCAGUGGGGAAUCUUGGACAAUGGCGCAAGCCUGAUCCAUCCAUUCCGCGUGUGUGAAGAAGGCCUUCGGGUUGUAAAGCACUUUCAGUAGGGAGGAAGGCUUUGGGCUAAUACCCUGGA
rnacentral:rRNA from 1 species